GCACAACUGUCAAAAUUACUGCACACGCGAGUGCAUAAAGCAAAAUUUAUGCAUUUAUUUAAUGACAUUUAAUAAGUUUUUAUUUUACAAGUACAGUACAACAACAGUAAUAUGAUCUAAUAGCAAUCCGAUUUCAAUUCCCAGGGGCCUAAAAUCUUUUAUGCUUAAGAAUUGCAAAGUGGAUUUCUUAGGAAAUUCCGAGGUUGCGUUUUUUUUAUACAC